rnacentral:misc_RNA from 1 species
UGGUUCUGGCAUCGAUGAAGAACGCAGCGAAAUGCGAUAAGUAAUGUGAAUUGCAGAAUUCAGUGAAUCAUCGAAUCUUUGAACGCACAUUGCGCCCUUUGGUAUUCCGAAGGGCAUGCCUGUUCGAGCGUCAUUUCACCACUCAAGCCUGGCUUGGUAUUGGGCGUCGCGGGCCACCGCGCGCCUUGAAGUCCUUUCGGCUGAGCGACCCGUCUCUAAGCGUUGUGGCAACUAUUCGCGGUGAGUGCGGGUGGCGGCGGCCGUGAAAUCUUUCACAAGGUUGACCUCGGAUCAGGUAGGGAUACCCGCUGA